rnacentral:rRNA from 1 species
GAUGAACGCUGGCGGCGUGCCUAAUACAUGCAAGUCGAGCGAACGGACGAGAAGCUUGCUUCUCUGAUGUUAGCGGCGGACGGGUGAGUAACACGUGGAUAACCUACCUAUAAGACUGGGAUAACUUCGGGAAACCGGAGCUAAUACCGGAUAAUAUUUUGAACCGCAUGGUUCAAAAGUGAAAGACGGUCUUGCUGUCACUUAUAGAUGGAUCCGCGCUGCAUUAGCUAGUUGGUAAGGUAACGGCUUACCAAGGCAACGAUGCAUAGCCGACCUGAGAGGGGGAUCGGCCACCCUGAACCGGAGAAACGGCCCAAACUCCAACGGGAGGCAGAGGUAGGGAAUCUUCCGCAAUGGGCGAAAGCCUGACGAGGAAACGCCGCGUGAGUGAUGAAGGUCUGCGGAUCGUAAAACUCUGUUAUUAGGGAAGAACAUAUGUGUAAGUAACGGUGCACAUCUUAACGGUACCAAAUAAGAAAGCAACGGCAAACUACGU